UGGAGAUGUAGCUGUAGAUGUCCCUGUUUACUGCAGGGAAGUUGGACUAGAUGAGCUUUAAAGGUCUCCUCCAACUCCAGCAAUUCUAUGAUGAUAACUAUGAUGAUUAUAUGAGAUCAUGACAGUCAACUUGUAAAGAUCUUCAGGGUCUGCCCAUAGAGAAUAUGCAAGUGCCUCACUUACUGCUGUUUCCCAGGGUUAAACAAUAUCUAUCUGGAUGCAUUCCCUUACUCUUUUCUCCAGACACACCUUUGGCUCCGUAGCAGUGCCCUCGGGAAGCAGAGACCAUUCUGCAAAUGCUGAUGGUGUGAAUACACAUAGGAUUAAGGCUGCUAGCUGCAACGGCAUGUCACUUCUGCCUGCAGCUUACUAAAGCAAAAAAGUCUUGUGGCUGACAUGUCCUCCACUUCACUGGGUUACAUGACACAUGCCGGAGAAUGUGUCAACCCACUCCCCAUCUCCUCAGCAUUAUUAGCCCAGGGAAGGAAAUGCAGCCAAAGAACUCACAUGCAACUUUGACAGGUUCUGCCUAAUCCGCCCACAUAAUGACCUUUCUUAUGCUAAGUGCCAGAGCGGUGCAAGGAGACCAUUGCCUGUAUCAGCUGCUGGAGAGUCAAAGUUAGUUUCAUGGUUAUGUUUAAGCGAGAGCCUGACUUUACGUUAAGAAGUCUUUGUCUCCCGCAGUGCAGCACUCAGAGAAUGACAUCAAAAGCCUUCCUAAUUCACACACCCGGGUCAUUUGAUUGUAGGCAAGGCACAGAGCCAUGCUGCCCCAGCAGCCUGUGAGCCACAAUGACAUCCAUGACUAUCCUCUUAUUCCAUGGAAGGAAGUAAUGUGCUCGGAGCGUAACACAACCAACAGUAGAUUACAUCCUUCCUCAUGUCAGCUUAGCCCUGCUGGCUGCUGGGGGAGGCACUGGCCAGGCAAACACAACCUCCCACUUCCCAGUUUCACUUCUCCCCACCCCAUCCUCAGGGAGCUGGGCCUCCCCAGGCUGGGACAUGCCAUGUGGCAACCACACGAGAAGGUUCUGCUCCACCAGACAAGGAAGAGGACGUUCCCACUCUUCUCCAGUGUGGCAGAAUUACGCCACAUGCUGAAACAUCAGACUCUCCUCCAACAAGACAAGCGUAACUGAUCAUGGAGAUGUAUCUUCUCCUCCCUUGGCAUGUGUCUGUGCAAUUAGUCUAUCUGUUUUUGAUUUAUUUAUUUUCAGUCUGCCUUCUGCACCCUUUCUCGGGUACAUGGGGCACACAACAGACUUGCCCUUGGACUACACAGAAAUAAAAUCAGAAACAGACUAACCACAUGAAUCAAUACCAAGGGAAACAAAACACAUGAUUGGAUGCUGCAGUUCCCUCAGAGAUCCAUCUGUCUUCAGAUGUGAUAUAACAGCGGUCAUGUACCACAUUUGCAAAGGAGGCAACACAUCCCUCCCCAUAGCCUGCCUUGUAGGGUGAAAUUCUGAUAGCUCAGAGAUGCCAAGGCAUUUCUAAAAAUCAUUUCAAAACAAGAUACAGAAGUCUGGUCUGUAUUCACAAAGGUAAAGCAAUUGCUUCCUAUUCUGAAGUGACUACUGUCAGUGCUACUGUUGCUUUCUGGAAUUUAGACUUGAAUUUGACAGAAGUUCAGAUGGAAAGACACACGCAGAACCACUUGUGAGAAUCAGCGUGUCUGUGGGCAUAGGCCAGUCCUUUCCUGAGCAAAUCCCUGCCACUAAGAGCUGCUGGUAAAGGAGAGACACAGAUGGCAGUCAGACUUGCUGUGUAGGCUCAUACCUCCAAGGCAAGGCUAUUAAACAAUACAAUUCACCAUUCUUCCUGCAAAUAGACAGUACUGCAUAACGAACCAUACCUCCUAGUGCCAUUAAAAUGCAUGUAUUAUAUUCUGUAACUGUUUCUUGUUUGAGUCCCAGAAGCAGUGUUGUUGCCUGGGAGGGAGUAUCAAGACAUUAAUCAAAAAUAGAUGUGCAGUACAAGAAAUGAGGGCCAAGCAGAUGAGUAUAUAUAGCUUCCACAUACUCAGAACGUAGGAGCUGUCUGAAAACACUGUGAUUAGAGUCAAUGUGCUUGAUACAGCACCACAGACAUUGUACACAGCUGUCAAUCCUAUACUGAACAUCUUAUUUUAUACCCCGUGGUUCUGCAGCCCCUCAUAGGGUGAAUGAUGCAAAGGUGCCAUUCAUUUGGCAGAACAGACAAUGGAGAAAUCCUCCAGACAGAACCCUCUACUUGUUUCUGGUUAGGAAGAAUAAAUUUUUCCUUCUUUUAGCAUCAACAGAAAUACAGAUGCAAAAGCAAGACCUGGAUAAAUGAGACAAGUAUUGUUCCUUCAAGCAGAAUGUCCUGACUUCAAGACAGAAAGAGACAGAUCUGGCUUCAAUUGAAGACAAAGAAAGAGAAACUUUCUUACUGCCCUACAUCAUUGCCAUGGAUUUCUUUGUUGCACUGUGGGAAACUCAGCCUCCACCAGCCUGAUUCACUUAGAUUUAACCCUAACGGCUCAAUGGGACCCUGUCUACACUAGGGAUAUUUACUGAGGAUUUCCCAUUGACUGUUGCAAGAACUUUCUCCAGCUCCACCAGUAUGGCACAGCACAAAACUUCCACUCAAGGCUUUGAAUCCUUUAGGCUAUUGCUACUUCUUCCAGUCUUACUAACGCCAGUGAAACAGAGCCAAUAGUGAGGCAUUUCUGGAAAGUUUCCUUUACACAGAGAUAGUUUUCAUCUCCUUGGCCAAGUCUGUAGUAGGCUACCUUCAACAAUCCCCUGCUCUCUGUUCACUAGCUAGUCUCUUAAAAGUUCCUCUGUCCCGCAGUGAGCUGCACUCUCUUCACAUUCAUUGACACUGUACACGUAGUUACAUAGCGUUAUGAGCACAUACAACUGCCUUUCAGUUCUUAUCUCUUCAGGAAUGGAAAUUCUUGUCAAAUCCUAGCAUAGGUCAUGCAACCUUACUACCAUUCUGCUGACAGCAGCUAUUCUUGGAAAUACAUGAAUUUCUGGAAUCCCCAAAACCAAAGAGCUUUGGCUCCAUGAACAGGAAUGGCAAACUCAAACUGCAAACCCACUUGACUAAGCAGAGGCGUUUAAUUAAAUCAUCUUUCUAUUACACUGAUAAACAAUCAGAUAUGACUGUUGUCAGUAGAUGUAAAAGUUUCUAUUCUUGUUCCUCCACAGCACCUUAAUUAAAUUACAAUUGUUGCGUUGGAAAACACAUCUGUGAGAACCUUCAAGUAGAAAACAUCAAAAAAUAUUCCUAGCAAAAAAGAAAUCAAUUAAUAGUGCAAUAUUUCUUGGUAGACAGAACAAAAAAUAGUUGGAUUAAGAGUGCAGUAGAGAAGAUUAAGGUUUGACAUAUGGAAUAUCUAAUAGAGAAGCACUAAAAAAUAUUGACUGGGAAAGGAAGGGAGUCUACAGUACUGAUUAUCUUCUAGUACAACUGAAACGCACUGCCUCAGAAGUGAUAUAGACAUAACUGAUUCUACCUUGAUCCAAACCAAAGACUGAAGAUCUGUUGAGAAGCCUUUCAGCUCUGUUUCCCUAUGGCACUACUUUGUUGAAAAUUUCUAAAGAAUGAAGUAAAGUCCUGUUCUCAUUUACAUGCAUUUGAGCCUCUUAUAUUCCAUAAAGGUUUCAUAUUUACAAGUGAGAUCAGAAUUUGGCUCCUUAUAAUAACACAUUGUAAAGAGCCAGAAAUUUCUCUAGAAAAACAGAAAAGCAAAGUUCUGUGUUGUAUACGUCUCACCCCUUAACCAAUACAUAUCAUAGAUGGCAAAAUAAUCACUGUUUUUUAUGGCAAGAUCUUGUUCAAGCAUGUGUCUGCAUAAAACUCCUUCAUAUAUCUAAGUAGAGUAACACGUCUGUACAUCCUCCACUUAGAACAGAGGUGGCUCUGGAGAUCCAAACAAAAUCAAAUACUACCUGCAAAUAUAUAGUGCACAACCAGGCAUUGGUUGGAGUCCAGGCAAACACGAAUUUACAAGAGAAAAUGCGACUGCAUGGCUCUUUGGCAGUUUCAUAUGUUCUUUCUUCCUUAUUACAACGCUCUAGAGAGUAAUUAAAUUUCAUAGCUCAGCAUUUCCUUUUCUUCCUUACCUUGAAAGAUUUGCACACAUUUUUAUAACCAGAUUAAAAAUUUGCCAACUGGCUUUUUGAACAAUUCUCAGUGCUUUCAGAAUAGUUGUUCAUAAAACCUUACAUAAGAUUCCAUUUCAGGGACUGACUCCUUUCCCAAGAAAGUAAAGCUCUACCUUCUCAGAAGCAGAAAGGUACUGAUUAAAACAUGUUAGGGUACAAAAUCUCCUUUGUAUGACACUAGCAAAUUCCGCAGUAAGACUCAAAGCCUGUUUAGGUCAGUUAGAGGCUUGCCAUUAACAAAGUGAGUUUUGGGACAGGUCCUUAAAGGACAGGAAAGCCACCAUGCACACCACAGUUCUUAGGAAAAUCACUGAGGUCACCAGAGGUUUAUUGACUUCAGCAGAUCACUGAGGUCAACAGAUGCUCAAAGGAACAAAAAUUUGCACUGAUCCAAAGCUAUCAGAGAAAUGAGUAAGAUGAUGGGAAGACUGAAAAGAGCAUGUCUUGCCCACAUGUCAUUCAUCUGCUGGCUGCCAGUGCUGCAGCAACUGGAAAAGCCAAUCAGGCAUCCUGGCUGAGCCGUGCUGUGCUUUACAAGCGACUAAAGAGGUCAGCACUCCCACAUCCUGUAGAAACGGUUGCAUGAUGUGGUUACUACUUUUAAAAUAAAUUUAAGAUUCCAUCCCCUAACUCACACAAAAGCUAACUAACAAAAAUAGGGGGUUUUUUGUGUUUUUUUUUUUAUUAUUUUUUUUUUAAUGAUGUACAAAUUAGUAUUAUAAAAUAAAUUAAGUAAAUAUUUCCCUUGGCAAGGAAAUAUAAAAUAGCUCAUUCUCUUAACAUGCAAGUUUUAUGUUUACAAAGCAUACAGCAUCCCACAUUUCCAUAAUGUGUUAGUAGCAGGAAACAUUUUUAGCUCCGAUGACUUAAACAAAGCUGGAGUUAGCGUCUGCAGCACCCUUAAGCUAUAUGUCACAGUCUUCACAGUACUGAAACAAAACACAGGGCAGUAACCACAUUAAGGUUUAGUGUUUAGAAACACAGAAGGUUUAACACUUGGCAAGCCAGAAUUCCCCUAUGACCUAAAGACAUGGAGAUCGUGACCUGAGAAUUAAGCGCUGUGUUAAGCGGCCAAGCUGUCUCCCUAAAGAAAAGACAAAAAUAGCAAAAGACAAGCUGAGCCAUGGGGCUGGCAUAUGUCAGGUGUGCCCAGGCCCAACUCACAGAAGAUCUGUGGCCGCAUGGGGACAACCCUGACCUAGUCCAGCCUUUCCAGGCAGGGCUUCCUAAGUAGGAGGAUUUUCAGGGGUGCUCAACACUCGUUGUCCCCACUGCCCUCUGAGGGAAUGGGAGCUUUAAGCUAACAUGCUGCCAGGACACCAGAAGAAAAAAAUUCACUUUUCUCCAACUGGAAUUGGAAAGAUUCCAGCAUUAGAAGGAGGAAAAGAGAGAAAGUUAAAUGACUACUCCGCAUAUUUCCUCUCACCCUCCCUCCCUUUCUCUAAGGGCUCCUCCUUUGCAGGUGCCACAGUCCUGGUGAUAGAGGAAAAAGAGGAGGAGAAGAGGAAAUUCAAAAAAUGAAGUGAAGUUCUUGAAUUAAAUGUUUAAAGAUAGGUCUUUGUUUAAAGUAAGGCCUGCAAGGCAGAGAAGUUGGUUUGCGAAAGAGGAAGGUCAGCAGAGAGGCAACUCCAAACAUCAGAGAUGAAGAGGAGGCAUGCAGUGAAAAGAGGGGAGUGUGAAACAGCUGCCUGGGGGAGCUUAAAAGGGAUGCUCAGCAUGCUCAAAACACUCUAAUUUUGCCACGGCAGAUCUUCUUGUGCCAAAUUCCCACACAGAAAAAUCCCAAGGACAUCAAACUGACCUGGGUAUCAUUGAUUUUACUUCUCUUGCUUUCUUUCUUCACUGCAAGCCAGAUUUAGCUUGUAAACAGGUUUUCUUUUUUAGAGUAUAUAUUUUAUUCUUUAUAAGAUAUUUUUAAUAGUUGGUCAAUAUGAAGUUUCCCCUUGAAGUUACUACACAGUUCCUGCUGGAUUAAAACUGGAUAUUUCUACAUUUAUUGGUAAAUUGCCAAAUGCUGUUACAAGGAACACUCAAUUGUAAUGAACUUUCAGUCAGGGUCCCAGGGUGCUCAUCAGAGAGAUGUACGUGUGUAUAUAUAUAUAUAUUUUAAAUUAGGCAACAGAAGAAUCCCGUGCUGCACUAGAUCUGCUUAAAAAGCAGAAUUUCCAAUCUGGAGGGAAUUCUUAUAUAUUUCAACUUUAAUUUCCGUCCUAAAACAGGCCAAGAAAUCAAAAUAUCAAUGAAAUAAAUUGGUGGAACUCAGAGUUCAGAAUAAUUUAGGUUUGGAAAUGUAUAUAAACUAAAUGCUGAUGCUUUCAAUUGAAAAUAUAAUGGUCCCAGGUUGAAAAGUCCUGGAAUAUGAUCCUCAUCUUACAUGGAUAGAAAUCAAGAAUAAUUCUGCUAGAAGUCCAUGAAGUUACACUGCUGUAAGCCUUCACAUGGGUAAUAAAAAUACUCAGAGUUAUAAGUACUUUGUAAAGCCAAGUACUUUGGAAAGUGCAACUCUUUCAAGUUUCAGGGCACAAAGCAACUUUGGAAUUAGGAGGAAAGUUUCACGGCUCAUCCCCAGUGCUCCAGCACUGAAGGCCAGGCAGCCACAGCCUCACAGGGGCCAUGGGGAGCGUGGCUGAUGGCUGCUCAGGCUAAACAUGGGAGCAGCUAUGGUCUCUUUUAUUUAGCAGAAGCUGGAAACCUGCCCCCAGUUGCAAGUGGGAUAGUAGACACAGCUCAGGGGCAGGGUCCACGCUGUCUACUGGGCUCUUCACAUUGCUGGUAGACCCAGGCAAAAGGCAGCAGUCUGCUCUGCAGUGUUCUGUGCACGCAGAAAAGUACUGGUAAAUACUGGCUGGCAGAGGUAGCUCUGGCAACAAAGCCCCAAAGAAAGCAGAGACAAACUGUCUGUGCACUGUGCUGAACACAGAGGGCUUGGACAUGUGAGCAGAGAAACUCUCUCUGGAUGCUUGACUCCCCUUUGGGAUCCAGGAAACAAGAAUUUAGAUAUAUUCAUUGUGAGAGAUAUGAAGUGCCGCCAAAGAAGGAUGCCAUUCCACUAUCAGCUGCUUCUUUUACUGAAGACAAUUCAAAAGCCUCCUCCUGCUUGGUGGUUUUUUUUUUUUCCUAUUUGUUUUUUAAACAAGAUUCUUUCAAAAGGCUAUAGCCUUCAGGCCGCGAGCUAAUCUUUAACUACCCACUUAAUUUUUCUGAGCCAUCUGGCAUCAACCAUUGUUGGAAGCAGUUGCUUUGUUAAAAAAAAAAAAACCAAAACACAUGGAUGUUCCCCUGCAGAGUUGUUUCCACAGUAUACUUGGGGAUUGCUGGAGCUCUGGUUAAGGCAAGCAGCCAUCUGCAUCAGCAGAGAACCGAUGCCACCAAAAUCACCAGCUGGUUUAACCUCUCUGAAUAUGACUACAGCUGCUGUUCGUAGAGCCUUCUGAAGGCCCGGUCUGCAGGCACUUAUUUAGGGUCCUCACUCAGGGAUUAAUUCAUGGAUCUUAUUUGAGAUCACAAUCGGAUCAUUUGAAAUAUGCUAAUGGCUUAAGUGUUAGACCAGAAAAUAAGAGGAAAAAUUUGGGGAAAUCAAAUUUUAGAUUUUUUUUCUAAGGAAUUUAAAAAAUGAAAACCCAAUAGUGAAAGAACAAACACUGCAUUUUCCAUAGAAGCUAACAUACCAGUCCAAGCAAGAAUGCAGAAACCAACAAACCAAUAAUUUUCAAGAUAAUUUCAGAACCAAGCUGAAACAAGUAGCAAAGCAUCUUGAAGAAAGCAGUUUUGAAGUGAUCUGCCCCUGAUUAAUCUCUAUCAGUCACCAUCUGAGCGAGAGAACACAGAGGAAGGGUCAGUCAAAAUUCCCAUGCAUUGUUCAUUCCUGCCUCAUUUCCAGCAGCCAGCUUCCUGAUCUGUCCCCAUCCUACAGCGUCCUCCAGCCCACACAGCAAUUGCUGUAAAGUCAAGCACAGUAACACAACAACAACAACAACAUUUAAUGUCUUUGAAAUCUCCCACAAAAUAUGGCCAGCUUUUUCCACACAAUUCUACCAAAACUUCACAAAUCUCAGUCUAGUGUCUCAACUAUAAUAUUAUUUCUCCUGCCUAGAAUAGGAAAUAGCAUCCAUUUCAGGAAUUGUUGAGAACGCUGAAAAAUCCAGAACUAACAAAAUGUAAUGUAAUCAGAACCAAAAGAAAAAAAAAAAAUUCCAACUUCACAAACCAUCUGAUUGGAGCCAAAAUUCAAGGCAAUGAUAUUUACUGAAGAAAGGGAAAGUCUGACCUAAUCUCACCCAAAACUUAACCACAGUGUCUGGACUCAGCAGGGUCAGGUUAUUUUCCCGUAGUAUCAACACUGCAUCUGGAACUGGGAGAAAUCAUGACUGUCAAAGAUGGCACUAAUUUUCAUUCCAUUUUCAGUACAACUUUCACAUCAAAGUAAUCAUUACACUUCAAUAAAAUUGUUUGAUCUUUUCGAUGCUCAGCUGAAUUGAAUCAUCAUAUCUUCCUAGCCAUGCGCAAAUGAGAACUUAAAUUCAGAAUGCCUGUUGCUGAAGAGAUUGCUCGCUAUAUUUACUCCAGUUUACUCAGAAAGCAGAAUUUACUCUGCUGAAAACAAAAGAAAUGUUGUUUAAACGUAUGACAAGAUAUAUGCAUAAAACAUGAACUUAACCAAAUACAUACAACAAUCUUCACAGCAACCUAAUGAGUACCAGAAGUGAACUCGAUGCAAUACAGCAAUGACAACCCAACCUGGUAGAUACAUUAUGCAGACCCGUUUCAGAGAUAGGUUUCAAGAAAUA